AACCAAUUUCCAGUCAUCAUCAACCACAGGGAACCCAGUGAUUCUGCGUUCUACCAACGUUUCCAAGGCUUCAUCUACGGAUGUUGAUGGUUUUACCACAUGUAGAUCAUCUUUUCUUGUCAUGAAAUCACCUACUGUAUAUACACCAUUUCUUGGCUCUACUGAAUUGGCCGUCAAAGUGUUGCUGGCGGUAACGGAAAAAUGGUUGCGCGAAUUCCAAAGGCGUACGGAGAGGAAACAUUUAGCGAAAGUAGCAACUUUGUGGCAUGGCAGAGAUAAGAGCAGACAAGGCAGCUGGUGGUGGAAAGCGGCGGAGCUGCGGUGGAGGGAGACUCCCGACGGCGAGAUAGAUGCCAUGGUCGGAUUUCGGAAGAAGAGAAUUCAGAAGAAUGGGAAGUGAAGGCGUUACGUUACAGCAAUUUAGGAAGGUAGAGAGAGCCACAGAGCAGUUAUCUUUGUUGGUUCUCCUCGCGUUCCUUCCCUUCAAGUGGAGUUCACAAUUGCUUUUGUG
rnacentral:misc_RNA from 1 species